rnacentral:tRNA from 1 species
GUAGUUCAGUGGUAGAAUUUUCACCUUCCAGGUGGGAGAUCUGGGUUCAGUUCCCAGC